rfam:Orchesella cincta Ocin01_Sc1681, whole genome shotgun sequence.
CCAACGGUUCUUUUAAGAACCACCAAAACUUACAAAGAGCAAUCA